UCCUUCCGUGCGCGUUGAUAUGAUUGGCCGGCAGAAAGGGACCCUCUUUUCCUCCCCGGCUGCUUGAGGAUCCACCGCAAUCAUGAACGACACAGUAACUAUCCGGACCAGGAAGUUCAUGACCAACCGACUACUUCAGCGGAAACAAAUGGUUAUCGAUGUUCUUCACCCUGGGAAGGCAACAGUACCUAAGACAGAAAUUCGGGAAAAACUAGCCAAAAUGUACAAGACCACACCAGAUGUCAUCUUUGUAUUUGGAUUCAGAACCCAUUUUGGUGGUGGGAAGACAACUGGCUUUGGCAUGAUUUAUGAUUCCUUGGAUUAUGCAAAGAAAAAUGAACCCAAACACAGACUUGCAAGAGUAGGUCUCCUCAUUUGUUUUACAGUUGCUGAAGACAUUUUUUCAGUGAUGUGAUGUUGUGGGUGCAGUGGAAGGAGCAAGAGCAAGCAGUCUAGGGAGGGGUGACAUAAGCACCUGAAGAACUCUUAAGGGGUUGAGAGAAAAGGUUCUUUGAUAAAUGCGCAGAGUACGGGGGUUCAGAAGUGGGAUCUGCAGUAUUUGAGGACGUGGCGUUUGAGCUGUGUCUGGAAAGGCAGGUAAAGUAGUGCUCGUGGAGAGAGCAGUUGGAAGUAGGGGGAUGAGUUUGGAAAGCUAAGUUGAUACCACAUUAAGUGAGAUCCUUAUUACCAAAUGUCUGAGGUUGGACUAAACUCUCCUAGGUAGCCAGGAACCGUGAAAGGUUUUUGAUAUUUCCUGAGUGCCAAGCACUACAGAGCAAACUGCAGUGGACUGGGGAAGCUCCCUAGCUUACAUUUUAAAUAGAAAACUAGCAAGUGGGUUGUUUCUUUGAAAUAUUUCUUGUAUCUGUUAUUUUUUUAGCCCUUUUCCCUCCUUGCUGUUAGGUAACUCUUCCUAUAGAAUAGCUGUGAGGGAACUCACGGUGAUGUGGUAGAUAGAUGCUGCACUCUUUUUAGUUGGGCAGUGUGGGAGGCCUUCCUAAGGAGGUGACAUUGGAAAAAAACUGAGAUGUAAAGAUUUGGAAGCAGUCUUCAUUGGGGGUGGGUAGAGCGCUUGGUAAAGGCUCCUCGGUCAGCUGAGAGUAGUAAAUAUGGAGUUGAAAUGGAAGAGAUCCUGAAGGGAAACCAAAAUGUGGGCAGCUAGCUUGCUGUAGGCUCAAGGCUGAACAAUAACAGCUCCCUCCAUGCAGGGAACAUCGAGAGGACAUUUGUUUCCUGUGCCAUUAUUCUGUACAUGCUGUCUCAUCAUUCAAUGACCCUUUCUGUUCUGGCACAAACAAGUAUUGGUAAAUGUACUUGAAGUUUUGGAAGCUGUGUUUUUUGAACUCUCAUCUGGUUAAUUUCCCUACCAGAUUAGUGGGUAAUGAUGAGUUGAUGUUUGCAAAUCAUCUGUAUAUGCUCUUCUCUUUCAGCAUGGCCUGUAUGAGAAGAAAAAGACCUCAAGAAAACAGCGAAAGGAACGCAAGAACAGAAUGAAGAAAGUCAGGGGAACUGCGAAGGCCAAUGUUGGUGCUGGCAAAAAGAAAUGAAGUGUCUAGCAGGUACUGAGAUUGUGAGCACGGUGUGGGGAUGCAUCACCUUCACUGAGUUUGCUUUGAUGCUUUGCAUGUUGGCUUUUGGAUGAGAGUUUUUAUAGUGUGAUCUACUAUAGUACCACUGCUGUGUUUUAAAGUAGUGUGUUAGCAAAGGAGAAAAACUUUUAAUCACGUGUAUUUUGGAAAUUCAAAAAUGCAUGUUAUGUUGUGAAGUGACCCAGUGGAGGAAGGUGGAUACCCUACAAAGUACGUACCUUUUAACUUGCACUUGGGAAAUGCUAUGUCCCAGAGUUACAUACCCAGCAAUGGCUUUAGUUAACACAGGGCUUGGGAAGGGUCCUCUCAGGCCAUCAUGAGCAGUCUUUCCCUUGGGGACCCUGGAGACUGAUCAGUUCUCUGGCAGCUCUGGUAAUAAACUGGUCCAGGAAAUCUGGCAAAUCCUCUGUCCUGGGAGCAUCCCCUCAAAGCUGCCUUUUACCAUCUCCCUUAUCUAUUUAUUACUUUUUUUACUUGAUCUCCAGCUUUCCAUCUGAUGUCUUUUUUUUUUUAAUUGAAAAAUUUUCAGCAUAUUUGUAUAUGCACAUUGUGAUUAAUAUGCUUUCCCCAUGAGUAUUUUGGUCAGAAUGGUCUACUACCCAUUUUAAACACAUUUUUGCACAUUUGAGUAGCCUAAAUGAGUAACAUGGAAUGUGGGCUGAGAGUAGGUUGGAGGUAGUAGGGUUUUGAAAACAGUGGUGGUCACUGCCCCUGUGUGCUUACUUUACCCAUGACUCCCUGCCAGGCUGGGCAGUAAGCCUGGUAUGCCUGCCCAGGACUGUAAUCACAUUGACUUCCCAGUGCCAUGAAGUUAGGUAAUGGAUGUACUGCCAGAGGAACUGCUUGCUGCUUAGGACAGCUCCCUGUUUGUGAGGCUUAUACCUGUGGGCAGAAGUUCAGAGGUUGCAAAAAGAAUCAGUCAACAUUUGUCGUCUGAUCUACAUCUUCAGGACGUUUAACACGUUCUUCAUUCAGCCUUUGGGUGGUGACAUGAGUGGAGGGGUUGCCUUUGGGGACCUGAGCUGGCACUAUUUCUGCUUUGAGUUGCAUUGGUGCAUUUUCAGUACUACAAAAAGCCGGCUGGAAAAUGAAUGCAUACGUGGGCACAUGCAUUUUUUGGCUGAAAAAAAAAAUCAGGCAUAGCAAUGUUCCUUUUAAUUCAGUUUUUGUUCGGGUGUUGGAAUUGGUAUUUGCUGUUACCUUUUGGGUGCAAUAGGAUUAUUUUAAGUUAAGGAAUAAAUGGUCUCAUGUUUGAAGAGCAAUUGAAGCAGUUUUAUUUCAGCUAAAUUCUGCUUCUUUUUAAAUAGUAAUUUGCACUAUGUGAUUUUGUUUGUUGGCGAUGGUGGCUUUUAAAGUAUUGAACUGAGACAGGUUUUAAAAGACUUGGUUUAUCAUUUAGAGCUCUCUUAUUGUGGUAAAAUUAGACUUUAGGCUGGUUUGAUUCCCAGAUCUGUUGAUAGUGCUAGCCUGCCGAGCAUGAUGUUGCUGGGCAGAGCAGAGGGACCGAGGUUCAGACAUGUACUUCAUCUGUAUGUAGGCAGUGGCAGCUUGCAUUGGCACUACGGUUGGCAUAAUGAUCUCUCUCUUUGUUGCGAAGUCAUCACACCACCUUGUUUACGUAAGAACCAUAGUAAUCAGGCAAGGUGUUCUCGAAAUUGGGAGGAAUAAAGUCAGUGUGUGUGUCUGGGGAGUGCUCUAUACAAUUGCAAAGGACAAACCAGUCAUCUUUAAGGUAUCUGAUUGCAUGCACUUAAAUGCAGAUUAUAUUGGAGUUUGAAAAGGAACUAUUAAUGAAAUGUUUCUUUUCCCUCUUCCCUCCUCCUUUCUCCCUUCCCUGCCACUGAUUCAGUGAGCUGGAGAUUGGACAACAGAAGGAGUAAAGAUUCUGCAGUGACUUUAUCUGUGGUGAUUGUGGAGAUUUUUCAUGAGAGGAUUAAUAAACUAAGAACUUCUAUGUG